rnacentral:rRNA from 1 species
GAUGAACGCUGGCGGCGUGCCUAAUACAUGCAAGUCGAGCGAACAGACGAGGAGCUUGCUCCUCUGACGUUAGCGGCGGAGGGGUGAGUAACACGUGGAUAACCUACUUAUAAGACUGGGAAAACUUCGGGAAACCGGAGCUAAUACCGGAUAAUAUAUUGAACCGUAUGGUUCAAUAGUGAAAGACGGUUUUGCUGUCACUUAUAGAUGGAUCUGCGCCGCAUUAGCUAGUUGGUAGGGUAACGGCUUACGAAGGCAACGAUGCGUAGACGGCGUGAGAGGGUGAUCGGCGACACUGGAACUGAGACAGGGUCCAGACGACUGCGGGAGGCAGCAGUAGGGAAUCUUCCGCAAUGGGCGAAAACCUGACGGAGCAGCGCCAAGUGAGUGAUGAAGGUCUUCGGAUCGUAAAACUCUGUUAUGAGGGAAAAACAAAUGUGUAAGUAACUAUGCACGUCUUGACGGUACCUAAUCAGAAAGCCACGGCUAACUACGUG